rnacentral:rRNA from 1 species
GAUUAGAGUUUGAUCCUGGCUCAGAUUGAACGCUGGCGGCAUGCUUUACACAUGCAAGUCGAACGGUAACAGGGAGCUUGCUCCGCUGACGAGUGGCGAACGGGUGAGUAAUGCAUCGGAACGUACCCAGUCGUGGGGGAUAACGUAGCGAAAGUUACGCUAAUACCGCAUACGUCCUGAGGGAGAAAGCGGGGGACCGAAAGGCUUCGCGCGAUUGGAGCGGCCGAUGUCGGAUUAGCUAGUUGGUAGGGUAAAGGCCUACCAAGGCGACGAUCCGUAGCGGGUCUGAGAGGAUGAUCCGCCACACUGGGACUGAGACACGGCCCAGACUCCUACGGGAGGCAGCAGUGGGGAAUUUUGGACAAUGGGCGCAAGCCUGAUCCAGCCAUGCCGCGUGAGUGAAGAAGGCCUUCGGGUUGUAAAGCUCUUUCAGGUGGAAAGAAAACGCAUGGGUCAAUACCCUGUGUGGAUGACGGUACCAUCAGAAGAAGACUG